CUGAUUGAGGCCGGUGUCGAUGCUGCCCUGCCCAUUCUCAAAACAAUUACGCAAAUCUUAGAUGAUCUGUUAAAUGAAACAUGUUAUCAGUGGUUGGCGAGAUGGCAUGUGCAUAACUUAUAUGAAGCAUGCGAAAGAGGGUAUCAUAUUUUAGAGGGAUGAAUUGAUUAGUACCAGCAUGUAUGGAAACUUAAUGCUUCCAGAAUUAAGCCACAAAUUUUUCAAGCAAAGCACCAUAUUUUUCUUAUGCUUUAGAAGGAUGAAGGAACUAAAAUCAACCUUAAUGUUUGGCACAAAUUUCCAACAAUGUAUUGAAACUCCUAGGCCCUUUGUUUUGUUUCAACCUUUCACUCCAGCUUUGUUUGGUUUCUCUGACCACCAAUGACACGUGAAGAUAACCACAAGUGUGCCAUCUUCAGUGUGGCCGUGACACAGUCCAGGAGCCUAAGCCAAAUAUCCUCAAGCAUGAGUACAAGCCAUGCCCGCUGCACUUUCUUGUAUAUCUCAUAUUAAUAAAACAAGAAAAUUGUAGUUUGGUGCAGCUAGGAUAUACAACUUUGGUACUUUCCAGUUAACAUGAAAACUGUACACCUAUAUAGAACAGAAGCAACUUUUGCAGGAACAAAAUCGGAUAGCAGAAAAGGUGUUUGAUAGCCAAAUACAUAUAAUUAAAACAUAAACAAAAGGAUUGUAUCCUUCAAACUGCAGUUAAUAACUUCCACACUGGAGGAAUGUAACAGGAGAAAUUUGAACAGAAAAUAAUAACUUUCACACUCUGUAUAACCAUCAAUUUUGAAACAAAAGGAUUAUAUCCUUCAAACUGUAGCUAAUAUGGUACACAUCUUGCUAGCAGGAGCAAGAUCAAAUUUUGAGCUAACAUAGAACUAUACUGUAAAACUAAUGAUGCAAUACAAAAAACAAGUGUCAGCUUGGUAUCUUUAUGCAUCUUGCUAGCAAGUUCAGGAUCAAACUGUAACUCUUGGCAGAGAUUUUGGAGGAAUGAUGCUUUGUUAGGAGAAAUAGCCAAAUCAGUACUAAAGAAUUUUGUAAGCCUAUUUCUGUAUGCUUGAGAUUCGAUAUCUGAGAUGAUUGCGUGUGCUUCAUGCUUCACUAAUCCAAAUAUAUAUCUCAGACCAUUCAAAGGAAUAACAUGCAACUUUUAAUCACACAAAUAUUUAUGUUAAGAUAAUAACGAGUAUAAAACAUUUGAAUGGACAGUAAUAUAAAUUGUAGAAGACCAUGUAUCAUGUAUUUAGAGUCUCACAGUCAACCCAACUUAUGAACUCUUAUUAUAAUAGGGCAACUCACAGCUCACGUACCAUUGAAAAACAUAUGGCAAUUUGUGGUGAUAUACAUAUGUACUCCACAGAAAUAAAAAGAAUUGAUCAGCCCUAGGAAAGCACUUUAUGCAAAUAUUGCAGGUGCUUGUAGGAAAAUGUCGCUAAUCUUUAUACACUCAUCAUUUUAAACAUGCAAAACUGCAGCUCCAUCAGAGGGGCCAAUAGCUCCUGUGCGACGUUUUUGAGGUGAAUUGGCAAGAGUGCGACGUUGUUCGAGCGAAUGGCUGUGGUGCGACACAUUUGAGCAUGUAAAUAGCCCAGGGCCACAUGGGGUGUUAAAUGUGGUUAAAUUGGUCGUCAACCAAGCCCGCCCGUUUAGGUUAGGACAUGUGGGUCCAACUUAAUUGUUCCUCAAAACAGCUGACCGUGCCCUGCCGCCCGACCGUGCCGGGCCCGCCACUCUGCCCCCCUUCUUCUCCGAUGGCGGCGGAUCUUGCGUUCUCGGUGGCGGCGGCGGAGCCCUCGUUCUCAACGGCGGCAGAGCCUUCGUCCUCAAAAAAUGGUGAGUGAAUUCAAACCCUAGUCGCCCUCCCGUUCCUCUCUCGGGCCCGUAGAUCUCAGCUCGUUUCCUCUGUUUUCGCUUGCGGAAUCGAUAGGUUGUGAGGGGAGCCCGUGGGCAUACUGAGAUGGAGCCGCCAAAUUCAACUUCGAAUAGGUAAUGCGCCUCUCUCUGAUCCAAUUUUGCAUGCAAUUAGGGGGGGGCUCACACUGUCCGCCACUGACAGAGGGGAUGCUGCCGCUCGGACCUUCGGACUGACAGUCAAUUUCUUUCCAUCAAAGGCAAAAUUAGUUGAUGGUAGCAUACAGAACAUUGAGAGAGACACAAUUGUUAAAUGGGAGGUUGAGUUUAUAGAGAUUGAUCCACAAGUUCUACAGAACAUGGGGGAGACGGCAGUGAAGAAAUGGGUGGAAAAAAUUGGGGAGAAUAUUGUUUGGGGUCCAGAGCAAGAAGUAUCACUGUUGCGGUUUGAUGAUUGGAAAGGAGAGUAUCUGAGAAUAGAAGAUGGUGAACAGAUUGUUGAAGAAACCGAUCGGCAAAACGGCUGGACAAGCAAACGGGCUAAUUUUUUUGCUGAGCUCGUUGAUCUGAACAUUUUUUUGAAGGUUGGAUAUGUGCCAUCACAAUUGGCUGCGCAGAUGGUAGAUGAUGAUUGGGCUACACAGAGGCCAUUGAUUCCCAUGUGUACUGAACUUACAGUAAUAGCCGAAGAGGGACAGGUGACUAGAACUGAAACUGAAACUGCAGCAACUGUUGAUUGGAAUGUAGUUGAAUUAGAUGAGCCUAUUGAUUUGGUCAUUGCACCAAUGCCUGACAUUGAGAUGGCCAAACUUUUUGGCAUUCCAGUCGAUGACAGAGAUAAGCAGGAGAGGGGCGAAUCUAGUUUGCCUACUAAUGCUGAUGAAGAAGUAGAUGGACAGUUGAUGGAACAAGCUGCAAAUGAAGUAGAUGAUGCACAUGAUGAUGAGCUGGUGCAUGUGUAUGACAAAGAAAACCCUGUCAUUGAAGUAGGCAAGUUGUUCCCAAGCAUGAAGGAGUUUAGGAUGUGUUUCAAGACUUAUGCAGUGAAACAUAAGUUUGAUGCCAAGACUGUUUGGACUGAUAGAAAGAAGUUUUAUGCGAGGUGCAGAGGAUUUGAUGGUAGUGUGAAGCCUUGCAAGUGGUACAUAUCUGCUAGACUGCAACCUGAUGGAAGUACUGUCAGGGUUAACCAAAUCCCCAAUCAACAUACUUGUAUUACAAGUUCACAGAGAGUAUCAACCAUGACAUCACAACUUUGAGUUGCAGAAAAGAUCACCCCAAUUUUAGCCAAAACACCAAACACUACUGCCAAGAAACUCAAAGUAGACUUGGAAAAGAUGUACCCCAUUAAACUGAAAUAUACCACAGUGUGGAAGGCAAAACAAAGGGCACUGAAAAAUUUAUAUGGUGAUUGGGCAAAUACAUUUAGGAUGCUUUACAACUUCAAAGCAGAGGUGGAAAAGAGGUCACCUGGCAGUGUUGUGGAGAUAGAUACAGAGGUAUCAGCCGAAGGUGAAGUCAAGUUCUCCAAGUUUUUUAUGGCUUUGAAGCCUUGCAUCGAUGGGUUCAAAGCAGGGCGCCGUCCAUAUUUGAGCAUAGACUCAUCAUUUUUGACAGGCAAGUGGAAUGGUAAGUUGGCAGCAUGCAAUGCUCUAGAUGGACACAAUUGGAUGUUUCCUAUUGCUGUUGGCUUGUUUCAGUCAGAAACAGAGGCUUCAUGGACAUGGUCCAUGAUCCAGUUGAAAAGAUGCCUAGGGCCAGUGUCACCUUUGGCUAUACACACAGAUGCAUGUAAGGGGCUUGAAAAUCCAGUGAAAAAUGUUUUCCCACAUGCUGAGCAGAGGGAGUGCUUCAGUCAUUUGUGGAUGAAUUUGAUCAAAAAAUUUAGAGGAGAAGAAUUUGGGCGCAUGUGGCCAGCAUCAAGAUCUUACACUAGACAGACACACAAAUAUCAUCUUGAUAAGAUAAUGGCAGCAUGUGAUGAGUUUGGUCCAUGGCUGAACACCUACCAUUCUUUGUUAUGGUACAGGUCAGCAUUCAACACUGCCAUCAAGUGUGACCACAUCAACAACAAUUUGGCAGAGAGUUUCAACAACAAGGUGAAGGAGUUAAAAGAUUUGCAUGUGCAUGACAUGGUUGACCAAAUCAGGAUCAUGCUCAUGCGGUUGUGGGAAUUGAGAAGAAGGAUAGGUGAUUGUCUGCAAGGUGAUAAGAUUCCAGCAGUGGUACAACAUGUGGUCAAUAGGAGCAGAUGUCUUUCACAUUUGUUUGUUGAAAAAUCUUCACCUUGGGGUGCUGAAGUUAGAGAUAACAAAACUGGAAGGAGACAUGUUGUUAACACUGAAUUGCAUGAUUGCACUUGCCUCGAGUGGCAACACACUGGUAAACCAUGUGAGCAUGCCAUUCUCUUCUUAGCAUCCCAACCGAAGAUAAACAUGCACCCAUAUUUGCAUGAAUAUUAUUCGGUAGCAAGAUUCAAAGCUGCAUAUGCUACUCCAAUUCCAACACUUACAGAUCAGUCUCAGUGGCCUAAAGUGGACAUUGAAUUUUCCAUGUGUCCUCCCUUGACGAAAACAAAGGCUGGCAGGCCUAAACAGAGUAGAUUCAAGGCAUGGUUUGAGAAAGGUGGGAGUAGUAAGAAGGGAAAGAAAGAUGGAAAGCCAAAAAGGGCCCAAAAGGUAACAAAAACAGAUGUAAGUUGUGCCAGGAACUUGGGCACAGAGUGGGAUCUGUCAAAUGCCGUUACACUCCUGAUAAGCCAAAGUAUGUUCUUGUUUAUUUGUCUGUGUUUUGAUUUGGUGCUUUUUUUCCAAUUACUAUAUCUAUAACAUUUUCCCUAUGGACAGGAGGAAGCGAGCAAGUCAGCCCCUUGUUGUUGAACAAUGUUGGCCAACAAAAAAAGCAAGAGUCAAUGGCGGUAGAAAGAAGAGAAGUGUGCCUGAGCCUGAGCAGACUGAAGAAAAUCCUGCUGCAGUCAACAUUCAGACUGAAGAAACUGCUCUCGAGGUUGAAACUGAACCUGAGCGUGUCGAGGUUCAGACUGAAGAAAGCCAUGUUGAGGUACACACCGAAGAAACUGAAACCGUUGUCAACAUUGAGACUGAAGACACUGAUCACGAGGGUGUAGGCGAGGUGUUGAAAAGACCAGUGAAGAAAACCAAGAUGAUCAGUGAACUUGUGUGUGUAGUAGAACCAAAAAAAGGAGUGCUAAGGCGAAGAAGGGCACGCGACGUGGUAGGAAGAGGUAGAACAGAGAACAGUUUGAAAAUUUGGGGCAUGUAAUAAUAUUUGUAACUUGGUGCGUACUGGUAGUCACUAUGUAUCCCCGUAUUGCUAUUUGAACUUGUUUGUUGGUACCUUGUCUAAACCAGCCAAAUAACAUUCAAAUUUGGGCUCAAAUUUGAAUUAGGGAUGGGGUAUUGAUGUUUUAAUGCUAUCUAAAGUACCUCAACUGAAAUAUUUUUGCUUGCUGAUCAUUCCGAGCCCUUUUGGUAAGUUGAACUCAUAGUCAUGAAAAGUGUGUCUCAAAUGACCUCCAAAGGUAGGGUAAAUGGCCUCAUAUUUAAAGUUUUUUUGGCACCUUGUCUAAACCAGCCAAAUAAUUUUUCUACACAUCUAUUCUACCUAUAUAGUGUAAAUCUAAAGUCUCACCAUUUAUUGAAUUAAUUUUCUAUUAUUUUCUUUUUUUUGAAAAAACAAGGUUUAAUAGAAAAUUAUAUAUAUAACAAGUUUAAAACAUGAAAAUGAGAAAAGUAAGUUAAGAUCUUUCUUAGUCAAUCCAAAAUGAAGUUUUGGUGAGGUUUUCACACUUUUCAUUUUCAAAACCCCACCUACUCUCGGGUGCCCACUACUCUCUCCCUUGAACUCCAUACUACAUUGUUCGAGGAAUGACAAUUCUGUGAAGGAUUUUUCGUAAAAAUGUAUGUAAACCAUAUUUAUAUUUUUUUUCUCGUUACCAUACGACAUAAUAAGACUAUGUGCGCAAGUUUUAUAUUUUUUUGAUUUUUUUUUUGAAUUAGUUAUGCUCAACCCUAAUCAGUCAAAACCCCUCUCAAAACCCCUCAAAACCCCGCACACUACCGGGUCGUCGAUCGUUGUGCGUGGACGGUUGAGAUCAGGUGCUAGGGUUAGCUACAGUGUGCAUCGAUCCGCAUGAGACGCGCUGAUUGGUUGAAUCAGUGUGCAUCGAUCCGCAUGAGACGCGCUGAUUGGUUGAAUCGGUGGGGUUUGGAUCAGCCUCUCUCGUUGGGGCAUCAGGACCAUUCAUUUGAAUCCAAUGGCAAGAGUUGACGCAGUGCAUGGACCAAGCCUACGCAGUGCCCUUUCCAUCGUUGCAUGCGUGCCCGUGCCUACCCGCAGCAUGCAUGCCCACCCGCAGAACUGCACCCGUGCGUUGCAUGCAUGCCCUCGACGUAGCCCUGCUCCGCCACCCCUAUCGACACAGUAAGCUGUCGCAUGCCUACCAUUAGAACCGAUGCAUCGUCGCAUCAAAGCAUGCACCCGGCCAUAAUGCAGCAGCCCGAUGAAGACAACCAAAAAGCCAACGCUGCAUGGCGUGCUGUACAUGGCGUGCUCCUCUUUGAGGACGCAAUACUGGCAUGGGGUAUCGAUGUGGGUAUCGAUGCAGUUCAAACGGUGUGCUGCCCGUUACAAGAUGGGCAAAUGAAGGCGUCCAUUAUUGUCACGUCGCCCAUCGACCGAACGUUGCCCUCUAGCCAGGCCCUAGCAAGAUGUGCAAAUUAAUGGGCUACGGCAUGAAUGCACGGACGGCACACGCAGAGAACCCGGGGCAGGGGUGUCCCCUUGACCCACGACGGCACAGACGCGUGCGUGAGCCCGUCCCCCUUGACCCGCGACCGGUGGCACAGAAGGAUCGCAGCCCGUUUCCCACGCUCGUGUACACACUUUCAUGGGGCGCCACCAAACGCCGCCCGCCCAUUAAUUCUACGGGGUGAAACCACGUCGCACUUGGGCUAUUUAAGACGGGCACUAUCGUCUUCCUCUUCCUCCUCAUCCACACCCCAUCCUCUGCCUCCUCUGCCCUCCUUCUUCCUUCUUCUCCAUCAAACCCGAUCGAGCCCUCGAGCCACCCCGCCACCAUACAUUUCAACGGCCCCACCUACCGCUUCCCCCCAACCGUGCCGGAAAGGCUCUACCCGGCCGGAGUGUAUGUAGAGAAAACCCUUAGGGUUUGGGCGAUCUCGAGGUGGAGGGGGCAAGGGAGUUAACGGAGUUCUUCCUUGCGGCCGGCUUCCGCCACCUCCCCCGCGGCUCUCCUCGGAUGUACCAUCUUGAGGAGGUCAACCACAACGCCGUUGUGGUUGGGCUCCUCGCCACGUUCACUAACCCUUUCGAUGCUUUCCAUCUCCUCGGGCGAGCGUAUUGGGUUGGUUGCGAGUUCAUAGCUUUCACAACCUACAAUAUCUUCACCGACUUCAAUGGCAUCUUCCCCAACAACGGCGUUAUGCACACGCUCCCGUACCCCAUCAAAAACGGGGAGGAGUGAAGGGCGGCGCCCGGAGGAGCGAGGUGGCCCCGGAGGAGGAGGAGAAGAAGAACCCGAAGAACCCGCGUUUGGUGCCCCCCUAUCUAUCUAGCUUGCUAUAGAUCUAUCGUAUUAGUUUUUUUAAGUUGUAAUCGUUAUGCUACUAUUAUUAAGUUUUAUUAGUACUUUAAGUUGUAAGGCUAUCAUGGAGUUGUAAGGCUUUCGUGGAACUAUGGGUUGCAAUCGUUAUGCUUCUAUACAAUCGUUAUGCUACUAUAUAUAUUGUGUGUUUCGUGCUAUUAUUUGUGGAUUGCUAUGGGUUGUUUUUGCUUAUUAUUCUUGUAUUGCUAUGGGUUGCUACGGGCCCGGGUUUCUACACCCCAAUCACCACACACACCAUCUUCAAAAUAUUGGCCAAACCAUGGACAUGCAACUAGGAGCCCCAUGCAAACCCACUAUGGACAUGGGUGCAACUAGGAAAUGCAAACUAAUUUACUUCGGGCACUUCAUACAAGCAUGCAACUCAUUUAGUUCAUGGAAACGUAGACAUGCAUAAAAACAAUUAACAUUUAGUUUUAGUGCAUCAAAAAAUGAUCCAUCACAAAAUUUAGUGCAAGAAAAAGGCCAAAAUAAAAACAAGUAACAUUUUAUUGGGCCCCAUUUUAUUUGCCGAAGUUAGAGGUGGGCUGGUGCCCCUACGCGGGUGGGCUGGUCACGGCCCAACAUCUAUUCGGCAGCCCAAUUUUGUUUUUUUACUAGAAACUGAAUUUGGGUGUGUACUCUGUUAACUGAAGAACAAAAACAGAGGAAACAGAGCAUGAACACUGAAUAAUUUGUGUUCCAAAUUGCUGCUUCAAUUCAGAUACAUAACUUGGCAUGGCGCACAGAUUACAUCCUCUACCCUGACAGGCCUAAAUGCCCAUUCUAAUGACAGAUGAACAACAAAUAAAACAAAAACAGAGCAAUGAUACAACAAUAGAAUCCCCCUGCCAUGAUAUUUGCUUGCUUCUGCAAAUCGAUCAUCUGCAUUAGAUGUUUCUUGAUCUUCUUCAGUUCCUCGGUCAGUUCGGACUCCGCAUGUAGUUCAGCAUUGCGCGCAUACAUCGCCAUCGGCACGACUCCGCCCGCCCUCCGCCCGAGCUCCCCGUAUUCUCCACAGCAAUCGGCGGCACCCCGCCCAAAUUGAGCUCCCAGGUUGCGGCCACGCUCGAAUCAACGUAGCCCUCAAACUGAAUCCUAUCAACAUAUUCAUCAAUCCACUCGAAAUGGUAACAUUUCUUCAAGAUCUAAAAAGAACAACAUGAACCCUAAAUCCCAAAUUCGAGGAGAAAAAACAAAAUAUGGAGAAAUCAGAGCAAAAGACAGCGAAAGAACGGGCAAAGAACUGAGAUCUAACCUUGCCAUCCCUUCCUGCCAUUGGUUUGCUCAAGCAUUUCACAAAUUCCCGCCCAAGAUUUCCAUUGUCAUCCCUCUUAGUGACCAACCGUUUAUGAGGGUCUGGGCGUGGGCAGUCAGGGCACCUUGUGAGCACCACUGGUCCAUACUGUCGCCAUUUUGAGUGCGUGGCGGAGGAGGUAGACAUUUGCGCUAGGUCGCCAGAGAAGAGAAAGAUUGGGGAAAGGGGAUGAAUGGGCGGCGGCGGGUGGACGGGCACGGGCGCUCGUCUCUUCUAGAUGCGAGGAGGUGGGUCCCGCGAAUAGACAAGAGGUGGGUCCCGCGCUUACGUGGAUAAGUGGUGGGUCCAGCCCCCAACAGCUAACGAGGGCAUCAGUUGAGUUUAAUAGCCAUGUCGUGCGUGGGCUAUUUACCUGCUCAAAAUUGUCGCACCACAGCCAUUCGCUCGAACAACGUCGCACUCUUGGCAAUUCACCUCAGAUGUGUCGCACAGGAGCUAUUGGCCCCCAUCAGAGAGGUGAUUUAGUAAAGGAGGCUAUAGGAUAUUUAGAAAAAUCCGCUCUCUCUCUCUCUCUCUCUCUCUCUCUCUAUAUAUAUAUAUAUAUAUAUAUAUAUAUAUAUAUAUAUAUAUCUCCCUCUCCCUCCCUCCCUCCCUGGUAACCAUGGAUAUUUAUUUAUUUAGGUGAUCAUAAAAAUAUAUAUUCUAAUUGACUAUAAGAAUAGUGUAGUUCAUUUGGAUGUAAAAACAUUGAUGGCAGAAAGGAGUGAUACAAAAACAAAUUAACGCAUCUAUGAAUAGACCCUGAAUCCAUUGUUCAAAUACAUUAUGAGUUCUACACUAUUUUUCCACAAAAUGGCAAACAUGAUGCUCAUUAUGAUUGGAGCAAACACUUUCAACUACGAAGUGAUAUACAUAGGCAAAACCUUUGGAAAGAUAGUUAUGCAUACCAACAAACUAUUAGUUGUGUAUCAUAGAAUUAAACCUCGAUAGAAUAGCCAUGUCAAGAAAGGAUUACCAGGUGCACUAUCUUUUCCUUAUAUAUAAUACAGAUAUGCCCUGCAGUAAUGAAGAACAAAGCUGAAAUUAGCAAUCAGUUAGUGCAUCUAUAAAAAAAAUUUGGUUGAUUACCUUAAUGCUAUUAGGUUCAGAAGACUGGUCCUGGUCUGUUUAUACAAGAAUUUGAAAGAACAGAAUAGUUAGUAUAGCUCUGAAAUAGCACGCUUAGAUACGAAGUGCACAUGCAAUCAUCAAAUUUUCACAAGACAACACGCUUGCUAACAUCAUAUUGUUGUAACAAAUACAUGAAAGUAUUGACUAAUUAUCAAAAGUGCAGAAGUAUUGGCAAUAUAGAUGUAUACACUUGGUAACGCCAAUAUCUAGAAGUGAUAUUUAGUAGAUAUGACAUAUACCCAUGCCACAAAUGAUGUUACCUCGUGUUGGAAGGUUGUCAUGUAGGAUUAGAUGGGUGCAUUAUUUUUUAUAGAACACUAUAUAUUAGAGAAGGGUUACUCAAUCCAGCGUACGUAGUAUUCUCCGACGCUACAUGUAGAUAUAACACUGAUAGCAUAUAAAAAAAGGGGAAGAACUGAUGCUAUGACCUAUCUUGGACAAGGGGGAAAAGAGAAGAAAAACUCCACGAGCAUGUACAACCCACAAACAAAGUAGCAGUAUAUCACCAAUGACAUUCAGAAGGAAAAGCAAUUUUUGGUACUUUAUUAUAAUUGGAUUUUUAGUGCAUAAUCGACACGACAGUAAUCAAAAUAUGUUAUAUCUGCAUUCUGUUAGUAGGACUGAAGAUAAGGGCCGGGGCACAAAUUUUUAUCGAAGAUAAGAUGAACUUGUAAUUAAUUCAGGAGAUCGCUUUUCUAUGCAGAAUUGAUUUCUCUACAGAAUAUUAUAAACAAUGUACUGAUGCAUAAAAAAAUUAUGAAAUCUUGGACAGAGAUGGCACCUGAGUCGGCGGCGUCCAGGAGAGUAGCACCCGAGUCGGCGGCGUCCAAGAGAGUAGCGCCUAUGUUCAGCAUCACAAAGGACGCUGUCAAGCCAGCGAGGUCAACAAUCGGCGAGGUCGAGCAUGAACGACCUGACCAGCAUGGCAGUGCCAAGUGCGCCACGAGUACCUUCACUCGAGUAAAUGUUCCGAGUGUCUUCAAGGUUGAUCCAUUGCAAACUUCUUCAGGCAAUGUGUUGAUAAAUAGGUGUUAGUCACAAACAUUGUACUCCAGGGUGAAUAAUCAGUGGUCUCCGCAGUAAAGAAAACACAAGAAUAUAUAUAACAACUAUCAAUUACCGGAGAAAUACUAAAUUGUUCUCUCGCUUCAGGCAAUAAUGAAUAGCAAGCAAUUAGUAAUACUCUGCGAGCUUCGGGCAAUGAAUUAGUGUUGAAAGUGAAAAUGUAAGAAAGAAAUAACUAAAAACUGUUCAGAAGCUUCAGGCAAUCCAUAACUGAAGCGAGAACCGUCAAAGCGUAGAGCUCCUAGUUUGGCGAUGACGACAACGCCUUUCCUCCCAGCCUUAGCCGUGCCUCCUCAACUUGCAUGUGGAUCCGCCCAGAAGUGAUCAUGGGAGCAAAUAAAACAUGCAGGCAUUAAGAUUGAUUCAUUUGUAUUUUGUGUUGUAUAACAAAC
rnacentral:lncRNA from 1 species